rnacentral:rRNA from 1 species
GAUGAACGCUGACAGAAUGCUUAACACAUGCAAGUCUAUGAGAAGAUCUACUUCGGUAGAAGGUAUCAUGGCGGACGGGUGAGUAACGCGUAAAGAACUUGCCUCUUAGACUGGGAUAACAGAUGGAAACGUCUGAUAAGACUAGAUAUAAUAAUGACAUGGCAUCAUGUUGUUAUGAAAGGUAACACUAAGAGAGAGCUUUGCGUCCUAUUAGUUAGUUGGUGAGGUAAUGGCUCACCAAGACGAUGAUAGGUAGCCGGCCUGAGAGGGUGAACGGCCACAAGGGGACUGAGAUACGGCCCUUACUCUUACGGGAGGCAGCAGUGGGGAAUAUUGGACAAUGGAGGAAACUCUGAUCCAGCAAUUCUGUGUGCACGAUGAAGGUUUUCGGAUCGUAAAGUGCUUUCAGUAGGGAAGAAGAAAGUGACGGUACCUACAGAAGAAGCGACGGCUAAAUACGUGCCAGCAGCCGCGGUAAAGCUACGU